rnacentral:sRNA from 1 species
CUACUAUUGGUAUACUAAUCUAAUAGAGAAGUUGAGGCGGUGGCUGUUCUUCGAAAGAGGGUGAUGCUUAUGGUGUAAAAACUGUUUGCAAGCAUUCUAGGAAAGGAAUAGUCGAGUGUCCAUUGUGGACGCUCUAGAAUUGAUGAUAGCAUUUGCCACGUUCGUGGUUUUAUUGCUGGAAUUAAU